rnacentral:rRNA from 1 species
UACGUAGGUGGCAAGCGUUGUCCGGAUUUAUUGGGUUUAAAGGGUGCGUAGGCGGUUCUAUAAGUCAGUGGUGAAAUACGGCAGCUCAACUGUCGAGGUGCCAUUGAUACUGUAGAACUUGAGUACAGACGAGGUAGGCGGAAUUGACGGUGUAGCGGUGAAAUCCGUAGAUAUCGGGAGGAAUACCAGCGGCGAAGGCGGCCUUCUGGACGGUGACUGACGCUGAGACGCGAAAGCGUGGGGAGCAAACAGG